ensembl:lincRNA
GCAUGCCCUGUAGUUUAAUUGUGUUGCCUUUCAAAGCAGCAGAACAUGGUGGUCAUUUGUGUCAUUAGCUCUGGGCCUUUCCAUGCAAGCACACUCUGCAGCCUUGUCCAGUGCCUCUUUAAAGCGUCUUAUGAUACUUUUGUUCCCUCCCUAAAGGGGAGGCUAAGUUCUUUGCUGCUAAGAGGAUUGCUGAGACCAAGCCUUUUGUAGAACUCAGAAGAGUGAACAACAGGAUAGAACAAGCGAGAGUCAUCAGGGAGGGCUGCUCUCCAGCAACGCUCCCUAACAGGAAAGAUGGAUGAAGCGAGACCCAGGAGAGGAACAGUUUGCAGAAGAGCACCAGGAGCCGGCUGCUGGACAUGGCUCGAACCCUGCACCGGAGCAGUUGUUCUCCUCUUGGCAAAGCUGCUGAACUCAUCUGAGAAACGAAUGAAACACUCAGGGCCCUGUCAAUUUUCCCUCCGUUGUUAAGGAAACAAUUUCCAAAGCUCCAAGAGUUUCCGAUCCAACCCUUCCACAGGCAGCUCCUGUUAAGCCCUCGUUUCUGUAUCCACCACAGCUAUUUGGUGAAAUCCCCAACAAUCCCAAGUGGUUUAGUAGCUAUCAUCACAGCAAGAAAUGUUUUGAAAAUGUUUAUAAUCUCAAAGGGUUUGACCCAAAAUUCAUCACCUAGAAUAUCCUAAGGAGCAAAAGCUGGAAAAGCUUUAGGAAGGAAGAAGUCCACUGUGGUAUUAUUUACCAUAGUGGAAAACUGGAAAUAACUUAAACGUCUAACGUAACAUAGACUACUAAGUGGAAAAAUGGCCCCUGUAAGGAUCUAGGUCAGGGGGCGGUCAAUACACAAGCCCAAGACCCAGUCAAGUCCUCUUCCACCUACAAAGACUCAGGAAGAAGUGGAGCACAAAUGGACCCAGUUGGAGGACCAGAGGGCCCUUCCAGAGCACUUCAGAUGCUGCUCCCAGGGGGCAAGUGGCCCUCAGGGCAGAGCACACCAAGUGGAACUGACCCUCAGGGGCGCUGGCGCUUCCCUUCCCUGCCUGCUGCCCCGCCGGCUCUCCAAAGCCUCCGGGAGCCCCCUGCGCCUGAGUUUCCCCGGAGUUCCGCCAAGAUCGUGGGGCACAGUGGAGAUCCGGAGAGAAACCAAGGCUCAGGACAGCUCCUCCUAGCACCUUGGAACAUCAUGAGUCCCUCCAGAUGACAAAGCACGUUGGACGCAGGGGCUGGGCUGGAGGGAGAUCAGAGCCCCUGCAUGUCCCCGAGCUCACCCUGACUACUCCCCCCCCACCCCCGGCCCCCGGGUGUGGCUGGGCUGCUGUGCGUUGGAGGAGCCACGUGCCAGCCGGAGGAGCACCUCUGACCUCCUCCCGCCUCUCCACACCCAGCCCUCUGCCUAGUUUUUCCUGAAAGCAUGUCAGAGGUGGAACUGAAACCCUAAUCUGCCUGGAUGUAUUUGCCAGGGAAAUGAGGCCACAGGGUCUGACCAGUCACGACUUGGCCUCUGUGUGCAAGGGAAAAAGGAGACAGGAAACUGGGACAUCAGGCAACCCUGGGUACAGUCACACCUAUGCUCAGCGACCUUAUCUGAUCACACAGUUUGCAAAUCCAAUCAGGGCAAAGAUCACAUGCACUUAGCUAACAUGCCACAAGGGACUUCCUAUGGCCCCAAAGCAGAAAAAUGUCCACAAGUGUCAAGCAAACUAUCAUUUGAAGAGUUACAUUUUCUGGUGUUUAUAUCAUGUCCUGAAUGGAUACUUUCUUAAUUAGCUUUGUGACCUUGGGCAGGUCUCUUAACCUCUCUGAACCUCAAUUUCCUAACAUGUGAAACAGGACAAAUAAUCACAACUUCACAAGAGUCUCCUGAUGGUCAUGAGAUGAUGUGCACAAAAAGACCAGGGCCCGGGCUGGGGCUGGGGCUCACAAGUAGAGCGCUCAACUAGUACGUGUGAGGCCCUGGGCUCGAUCCUCAGCACCACAUAAAUAAAUAAAUAAAAUA